rnacentral:lncRNA from 1 species
GUGUAACCCCAUCUUCAUAUUGAAGUUAUUGACAUGACCUAGUGGGUCUCCUAAACCAUCAUAGGAGUCUAAGGGCGGUAAUCUUAGCAUCUCAAGAAGUGCUCUACUAGGAUGCUUGGACAUAAUGGAUUACCUUUAGAGAAGACCUCAUCUCUCAUUAUUCUUCCAAUUUGAUACUUUUUUAAAGCAUUAAUUAUUCUUUAAUUGUUGGUUUCU